rnacentral:rRNA from 1 species
UAGGGAAUCUUCGGCAAUGGACGCAAGUCUGAUGGAGCAACGCCGCGUGAGUGAAGAAGGUCUUCGGAUCGUAAAACUCUGUUGUUAGAGAAGAACAUGCAGGAGAGUAACUGUUCUUGUAUUGACGGUAUCUAACCAGAAAGCCACGGCUAACUACGUGCCAG